GACGAACGCUGGCGGCGUGCUUAACACAUGCAAGUCGAACGAAGUGGCGAACGGGUGAGUAACGCGUAAUCAACCUGCCCUUCAGAGGGGGACAACAGUUGGAAACGACUGCUAAUCCCGCAUACUGAAGGAGGUGAUUGCGUCGGAUUAGCUAGUUGGAGGGGUAACGGACCCCCAAGGCGAUGAUCAGAAGCCGGUCUGAGAGGAUGAACGGCAACAGUGGGACUGAGACAAGGCCCAGACUCCUACGGGAGGCCGCAGUGGGGAAUCUUCCGCAAUGGAAGAAAGUCUGACGGAGCAACGCCGCGUGGGUUAUGACGGCCUUCGGGUUGUAAAGCUCUGUUAAUCGGGACGCGGUACCGGAAUAGAAAGCCACGGCUAACUACGUGCCAGCAGCCGCGGUAAUAC
rnacentral:rRNA from 1 species